GCGCUGGUGGUGCAAGGCGAACAUCGCUGCCUGGAAAGCAGAAGAUGCGGGUUCGAGUCCCGCCUGGCGCA
rfam:Heligmosomoides polygyrus genome assembly, scaffold: HPBE_scaffold0001740